rnacentral:rRNA from 1 species
CCCCUAGAUGUUCUGGGCCGCACGCGCGCUACACUGAACAGUUCAACAAGUCUUAACCUUGGCUCGAUAGGCCUGGGUAAUCUUUGAACGCCGGUCGUGAUGGGGAUAGAUCCUUGCAAUUUUUGAUCUUCAACGAGGAAUUCCUAGUAAAUGCGAGUCAUCAUCUCGCGUUGAUUACGUCCCUGCCCUUUGUACACACCGCCCGUCGCACCUACCGAUUGAAUGGUCCGGUGAAGCCUCGGGAUUGCGAAUGCUUCGUGCGGACGCGAGAACUUGGCUAAACCUUACCAUUUAGAGGAAGGUGAAGUCGUAACA